AUCAACUUUCGAUGGUAGGAUAGAGGCCUACCAUGGUGGUAACGGGUAACGGGGAAUUAGGGUUCGAUUCCGGAGAGGGAGCCUGAGAAACGGCUACCACAUCCAAGGAAGGCGGCAGGCGCGCAAAUUACCCAAUCCCGACACGGGGAGGUAGUGACAAUAAAUAACAAUACGGGGCUCAUUUGGGUCUCGUAAUUGGAAUGAGUACAAUUUAAAUCUCUUAACGAGGAACAAUUGGAGGGCAAGUCUGGUGCCAGCAGCCGCGGUAAUUCCAGCUCCAAUAGCGUAUAUUAAAGUUGUUGCAGUUAAAAAGCUCGUAGUUGAACCUCGGGGUCUACCCAUUGGUCAGGCUUAAUUGUCUGCACUGGUGAGAUGGAUCUCUACCUUCUGAGGAACUUUCAUGCCAUUUAUUUGGUGUGAUGGGAAAUCAGGACUGUUACUUUGAAAAAAUUAGAGUGUUUAAAGCAGACUAUCGUCUGAAUACAUUAGCAUGGAAUAAUGAAAUAGGACGGACUGAUUCUAUUUCGUUGGUUUCUAGGAUCACCGUAAUGAUUAAUAGGGAUAGUUGGGGGCAUUAGUAUUCAAUUGUCAGAGGUGAAAUUCUUGGAUUUAUUGAAGACUAACUACUGCGAAAGCAUUUGCCAAGGAUGUUUUCAUUAAUCAAGAACGAAAGUUAGGGGAUCGAAGACGAUCAGAUACCGUCGUAGUCUUAACCAUAAACUAUGCCGACUAGGGAUCGGACGAAGUUAAUUUUAUAAUGACGCGUUCGGCACCUUACGGGAAACCAAAGUGUUUGGGUCC
rnacentral:rRNA from 1 species